GACGAACGCUGGCGGCGUGCUUGACACAUGCAAGUCGAACGGUGAUGCUCCAGCUUGCUGGAGUGGAUCAGUGGCGAACGGGUGAGUAACACGUGAGCAACCUGCCCCAGACUCUGGAAUAAGCGCUGGAAACGGCGUCUAAUACUGGAUACGAAACUGGCCCGCAUGGGCAUGGUUUGGAAAGUUUUUCGGUUUGGGAUGGGCUCGCGGCCUAUCAGCUUGUUGGUGAGGUAAUGGCUCACCAAGGCGACGACGGGUAGCCGGCUUGAGAGGGCGACCGGCCACACUGGGACUGAGACACGGCCCAGACUCCUACGGGAGGCAGCAGUGGGGAAUAUUGCACAAUGGGCGAAAGCCUGAUGCAGCGACGCCGCGUGAGGGAUGACGGCCUUCGGGUUGUAAACCUCUUUCAGCAGGGAAGAAGCGAAAGUGACGGUACCUGCAGAAGAAGCACCGGCUAACUACGUG
rnacentral:rRNA from 1 species